UUUCCGUAGGUGAACCUGCGGAAGGAUCAUUAUCGUAUAACCGAGGUGCGUGGGCUGUCGCUGACCCGAAAGGUCGUGCACGCCCGAGUGCCCUCACACACAUCCAUCUCACCCCUAUGUGCACCACCGCGUGGGUCCCCCUUUGGCUUGUUCGGAGGGGGGCUUACGUUUUCACACAAACUUUGUAUGCAGUGUAGAAUGUAUUUUUUGUUUUUGCGAUCACGCAAUCAAUACAACUUUCAACAACGGAUCUCUUGGCUCUC
rnacentral:misc_RNA from 1 species